rnacentral:rRNA from 1 species
UACAGAGGUCUCGAGCGUUAGGCGGAAUCACUGGGCUUAAAGCGUGUGUAGGUGGAUCGUUAAGUACCUUGUGAAAUCCCACGGCUUAACCGUAGAACUGCUUGGUAUACUGGCGGUCUUGAGCCAGCUAGGGGCUACCGGAACAAAUGGUGGAGCGGUGAAAUGCGUAGAUAUCAUUUGGAACGCCAAUGGUGAAAACAGGUAGCUGGGGCUGUGCUGACACUGAGACACGAAAGCCAGGGGAGCAAACGGG